GCAGACCCUAAAUAAGCAUGUCUUUGAAGCUAAAAUGUUUCAAGAUUUUUUUUAUUUUAAUUUUGAUAUGGCCUACAGCAAAAAAAAAAGUAAAGUAAAGAAAAACUCAUUAGACAGGCUGAUCGCCUCCAUGCCACUCCAUACUGAUGCAGUAAUUCAUUCAAAAAUAGCCCCAAAACAAAGUAUUGAAUGCACAAAUCAACAUACUGUUCAGAAUUUUGACAUUCCAUUUUUGAAUUGAUCAGAUGGAAUAUUCUAAUAUUUUGAGAUACACAUUUUGUAUUUUUGAAGCUGUAGAGUGGAUUAUUAUUAAAAAAAAUUCUUGGAACACUGCCGACAGUUUGAACCGGUUGAUAUGAUUGGGAGCAGUAUUGCCACAGUUACUUUGAAAAGUUACUUUUUUAAUUACUUUAUAUAGUUACUUUAUUAGGAUCUGCAGACAACUUGCAACAACUAUGGUUGAGUAAUUGGCAAAGUAACUAAUAGUUACUUUUCUAAGUACUCGAUCUUAAAACUAACCAAGUUAGAUUAGUAGUUACAUCAUUAGUUACAUUCAGUAGCUGCUGACAAAUUGUGCCUGCUAAAGAAGUAACUGUAUAAAGUAACUGCAAAAUGUAGCUGUUAAAAAGUAACUCAUGAAGUAACUUUUCAAAGUUACUUUGGCAACACUGUUUAGGAGUUUAUCUAUAAUAAAAUUAUUUACUACCUGUUGUAUUUUGUUGUCUAUGUUCGUAUUUAUUUAUGUUGCUAAAAUUAUUUCAGUGCAAAUACAGUUGAAAUGUAGAAGUAUAUUUAAAAAUGUAGAAGAGUAUUUAAUAAUUUCACUUUGUGAAAAAUAUUGGGCUUUUUCCACAAUAUAUAUAUUUUUUAGAUGUACGUGAACAUAUGUGCAUAAGGUCGAAUUGUGAUGAGUGUUAGGUACAGAAAUGUGCAAAAAGGUUUUUACUGUAGUAGGUGAUGGGAGAAGAACAGGCAAGAUACGUAUGAUACUGUGACUUUUUAAAUAUUGAAAUGUGUGCAAAAUGUACAAAAAUUUGCAAGGGAAGGUGUGGAUUCUGCCAUUCCGCAGAGUACGAUGAUUAUUUAAAUAAGUAUGAAAAAAUGUACAAGAAAUGUCGCACGUUUUACUGUUGUUGGUAUAUUAAUGUUACAUUUGAUUGUAUUAUUAUUUCAUGUAAUCUAGUAUGUUGUGGUAGAGCUCUUAAAAUAUCCUGCAACACUUUAAAAUAAAGGCGUGCAAUCACGUGCUUGAGGUUGGGUGAAAGAGUAAAGUUCAAAGGUGAGGGUUGUGUUGUCUUUGUGUUAAAGGAGUGGAGCUCGAUCUCACAUCACUCUUCCCUUUUCCCCGAUUCCUUUCUAAACUCUCCCCCGGGUUUCUACCCUCCCGAACCUCUCCCCUUCUACCCUUACAACCCCAACCCUCCCCCGAUCACUUGUUAGUGAACGAAUCGGGACCAUCUUUUUGAUCUCAGUUCUAUACGGACAGCUACAAUACCUUGCAGGUGCAGUUAUGGACUCCGGUAUGAUUGAAGGAGGGCUUAAUGUCACCCUUACCAUAAGGCUGCUCAUGCAUGGAAA